GGGUGAGUAACACGUGGAUAACCUACCUAUAAGACUGGGAUAACUUCGGGAAACCGGAGCUAAUACCGGAUAAUAUUUUGAACCGCAUGGUUCAAAAGUGAAAGACGGUCUUGCUGUCACUUAUAGAUGGAUCCGCGCUGCAUUAGCUAGUUGGUAAGGUAACGGCUUACCAAGGCAACGAUGCAUAGCCGACCUGAGAGGGUGAUCGGCCACACUGGAACUGAGACACGGUCCAGACUCCUACGGGAGGCAGCAGUAGGGAAUCUUCCGCAAUGGGCGAAAGCCUGACGGAGCAACGCCGCGUGAGUGAUGAAGGUCUUCGGAUCGUAAAACUCUGUUAUUAGGGAAGAACAUAUGUGUAAGUAACUGUGCACAUCUUGACGGUACCUAAUCAGAAAGCCACGGCUAACUACGUGCCAGCAGCCGCGGUAAUACGUAGGUGGCAAGCGUUAUCCGGAAUUAUUGGGCGUAAAGCGCGCGUAGGCGGUUUUUUAAGUCUGAUGUGAAAGCCCACGGCUCAACCGUGGAGGGUCAUUGGAAACUGGAAAACUUGAGUGCAGAAGAGGAAAGUGGAAUUCCAUGUGUAGCGGUGAAAUGCGCAGAGAUAUGGAGGAACACCAGUGGCGAAGGCGACUUUCUGGUCUGUAACUGACGCUGAUGUGCGAAAGCGUGGGGAUCAAACAGGAUUAGAUACCCUGGUAGUCCACGCCGUAAACGAUGAGUGCUAAGUGUUAGGGGGUUUCCGCCCCUUAGUGCUGC
rnacentral:rRNA from 1 species